rnacentral:misc_RNA from 1 species
GAUGAAGAACGUAGCGAAAUGCGAUAAGUAAUGUGAAUUACAGAAUUCAGUGAAUCAUCGAAUCUUUGAACGCACAUUGCGCCCCUUGGUAUUCCGAGGGGCAUGCCUGUUCGAGCGUCAUUACAACCCUCAAGCUCUGCUUGGUAUUGGGCGCCGUCCUCCUGCGGACGCGCCUCAAAGACCUCGGCGAUGGCGUCCGGCCCUCAAGCGUAGUAGAAUACACCUCGCUUUGGAGCGGUUGGCGUCGUCCGCCGGACGAACCUUCUGAAUUUUCUCAAGGUUGACCUCGGAUCAGGUAGGGAUACCCGCUGAACUUAAGCAUAUCAAUAAGCGGAGGA